CAAAUGUUUAAAGUUGUUAGACAAAUGUUCUUCAAAGAGUUGGCAUUAAAUUGAAUAUCUGAUUCUUUUCAGAGUAAAAAAUAACAGUAGUAAUAGUAAUGCUUAUCACUAGUGUCAUUACUUCAGAACCCUCGACAGUAUGAUAAGUGGUUUGCAUUUUCUUUGAAUUCCCAGGAGUUUAUGUCCGUAAUUAGUAAUUUUGUUUAAUGUGUGAUAAUUGCAACAUUGACGUCACAUGUAACGAUUUUCCAAAUCUUUGAAGAUAUAUCCAGAUAUAUGCAUUGACGUAAUGUUUUGAAUAAAAUGAGAAUACUCUACUAUUACGAAAUCUAUAGCUUGUGGAAAUAUUUUAAUUUCCUAUAAUUGAAAUGACCACUUGGUUCAAAACCAUAGUUUUACUUUGAAUCUGUAAAUCUAUACAAUUUGUGCAUAGUAAAUAUGUAUAUGAAGCUGGGUUUUUACUUUUUACAUUUUCCUGUACAUUUAAAUAAAAAAUCCGGGUUGUAAAAACAGAAUUUUUAAA
rnacentral:lncRNA from 1 species